AAAAAAGAGAAAAAUUCUUAGAUCCAAAAGCUCAAAAAAAUCACAUAUUCAUCAAAAAUCCAAAAUCAUCAAAAACUUCAAUCCAUUCAUUCAUAAAGCUUCUAAACCAUUUCAGAAGCUUGAAUCACUCAAAAACCACAACAAAAAACACCCAAAACCGUGACAAUCCUAGCUCACGGUGGCAAAGAAAAAGCUUGCAAUCCAUAGACCGAAUCUUAAUCCAAAAAACGUAAGAUUGAAUAUUUUCAUUAGUGCUUAACUGAUUCAUGGGAGGCCAAAAUUAAGUGUUGGGAGUUUCGCUGAUAAAUGCCACCAUUUGAUUAUUACCUUGAGGUGUUUACUAGUAACUAUGCCGCACACUCAUUUCAAUCUUUUUUUUUUAUUUUAUUUUCGAAACUGUUAUGUAGAAUUUGGUAAAGUAGUGGAUUGGACUGUGUGAAUUAGGUUAAAUGGAUAAAAUAGUAGAAGCGAGGCUAGUUUGAUUUUUUCUAUAUAACAUUCCAAUGAAGUUUGAACUACUAGUUUUUGAAGGCUUUGGUAGCUACAAAUUUGAGCAACACGGUUGAAUUUUUUGACGGCUUACACAAUAACAAUGUGAUUGAAGGACACAUUUGAAUUUAGGCGAUUUAUUUGUUUUAUUUGAUUAUCUUGUUCAAUUUAAUUUCUAUUAAUCUCUCUAACAUAAUUUGUUAAAAUAGUUAUUUCUCUUUUGGUGUUUUCACUCUUUUGGUAUUCUCUUUGGUGGAUGAUAAUCUUUCAAUGUAUGGUUGUUGAUAUUCUUCCAAUGUAAAAGUUAAAUACAACAAAUGUGACAGGAAACAACAAUUCCUCUAGUUCUGAUGUAAUAUUAAACAUACCCAAUAUAAUUAAUCUAUGAUUAUUCUUUAUUUUAAA